UUGCCUCUCCCAUCUUCCUCUCUCUCUUCCUCUUUGAGUGAUCGAGUAUGAUGAUCAGGGAUUUAUGAAAAAUCUGACUGUUAUGGAGGAGCUUGGAUCCAAGGGAACACAAAGUUAUACCUGUGGGAAUGACUCAUUGUGAAAGGUUUAAGAUCGUGUGGAGGCUUUGCACUUGUGGAAUUUCAGGCAGCAAUCGAGACCCUCAUUUUGAUUAUUUCUUGAAUGGCCGACCCUACCGGUAGGAGGAUCCGAAUCUCUUCUGCAGAUAUCAUCUUUCAGAAGACUGCCAAUACGGGUAUGAAGAAGGAAGUCAUGAAACAGAAAAAGCUAAAGCGUCAACAACAACAACCUAAAGUUGAAGAAGUUGCUACUGUUGUUGUGAAUGCUGCUGAAUCUGAUCCUUUCACAGAGAAUUAUGGUGAUGUUCCGUUAUUGGACCCGCAUUCAGAGGCAGAGACGGGUAGAAAAUGGACUACAAUUGAACUUCUGAAUGAGGAUUUGAAGGAUAAGGAGAUAUUGGUUCGUGGGCGAGUGAAGACCACCCAUACUGUUGGGAGAAGUACUGGUUUUUUGGCGGUGAGAGAAAGGGGUUUUACAGUGCAGUGUGUGGUGAAUGCAAAGCUUGUCAAUGAAUAGAUGGUAAAGUUUGCAACAAGUUUGAGCAGAGAAUCUGUUGUCGACAUAGAAGGAAUAGUCUCAGUGCCUAGUGAUGCAAUUAAGGGUGCAUCACAGCAAGUGGAUGUUCAAUUGAGAAAAAUUUAUUGUGUUAGCAAAGCUAUCUCAAAUCUACCUUUCAACAUUGAAGCUGCCACCCGAAAUGAAAAGGAAAUUGAGAAAGCUUUAUAGGCUAGAGAACAACUUGUUCGUGUUAAUCAGGACACAUGCUUAAACCAUAUGGUUCUUUACUUGCGUAUGCCUACCAAUCAAGCAAUUUUUUGUAUCGAGAGCUAGGUUGCAAAU